rnacentral:rRNA from 1 species
UACAGAGGGGGCAAGCGUUGUUCGGAAUUACUGGGCGUAAAGGGCGCGUAGGCGGCCUGUUAAGUCGGACGUGAAAUCCCUCGGCUCAACCGGGGAACUGCGUCCGAUACUGGCGGGCUUGAAUUCGGGAGAGGGAUGUGGAAUUCCUGGUGUAGCGGUGAAAUGCGCAGAUAUCAGGAAGAACACCAAUGGCGAAAGCAGCUUUCUGGGACGGUACUGACGCUGAGACGCGAAAGCGUGGGGAGCGAACAGG